AAGAGAGAGAGAGAAAAAGAAAGAAAGAAAAAGAAACAAAAAGAAAGAAAGAAGUAAAAGACAAGCCGGCGUUUUUAAAUGUAUAAUUGUAAAAGUGCGUCAAACGAAAUGCGCGGGCGCGUGCGAACGCAAGCGACAGGUGUAAAAUCAGGGUUGCAAGCACGUGCGUAAAAAAGCAUCGGUAAAUGAGAUUUUCGAAAUGCUCGGGCGGGCGCGCGCGCGCCGACACACGUUUGUAUGCGUUUAGUAGGAUAGUAUAAUGGCGUGGUAGUAGCGUGCGUGCGUCGUAUGUAUAUGUUACCGCGCGAGCGUGUGUGUGUGUGCGUCGCGUCUCCGAAAAUUCGAAAGAAGAGCGUCGUCGGGUUUGUCGCGAUAAUGCGCAUGCGCGUCCGAAGUUAAGAAAUGCCGUCUUCUCUGGAACGUUCACCACCAAUCACAACAAUGGCGGACGCAAUUCGGUAAAUCCACGUACACGUACGAACAACCCACCGUUUGUUAAUACCGGCACGCGCACGUGUCUUGUUUCACAAUCGUACAAUCCUCGGGACACACGGAAUCCGUCGAUAUCGGCCAAAUGAAAAUCGAUCGAACUUUUCUCAAGAUAUUCUGCAGACAAACGCACAAAAGGAAAUAUCGGGUCGACAUGUAAGAUUUUCGUUCGGGGCCACUUUAAGGGGCCAAGCGGGGUCGCCGAUAGGCUGCGUGUGACGUGGUUGCGUUUAUUGACCAUAACCCCUUCCUACCUCUCCGUCUGCAACUUCACGACGGACAGGUGUACGACCGAAGAGAGUAAGAGAGAGAGAGAGAGGGAGAGAGAGAGAGUGAGAGAGACACACACAGAAGUGAGAAAGAUAGAGAGAGAAAGAGAGAAACCGGGAAACUAUUGACCGGCCACCGGCCGCGUCUUAAAAAGCACGAAGACGUUCGCCGGACGACCACUAGGAGGACGGCGCCUUUCCUCUUUUUCUAUCCUUUUCUUUCCCUCCCACUCUCUUCUUCUUUCCUUUCUUCUUCCCCUUUCUCUCUCUUUCUCCCUCUUUCUCUCUCUCUCUCUCUCUCUCUCUCUCUCUCUCUCUCUCUUUCUUAUUCUCCCUUCUCCUUAUUGCUUUUUCAACGGCACGAUCGACCCACGAGGAAGCCGACUCCGUCUUCUCUUCUCUCUACUUUGAUUCUCUCCUUUUAUAUUUCCUGAUCCCAAACGUUCUAUCUUCCAAGGUCAUUAAUCUUCCUUUAAGAAAUGACAAAGUUUUGACAUUAAAACGCAUAUUUUGUUUAUACCGAUAUAUAAGAGUUUAAGUUAUGAUCAUAAUCAAAAUGACUUUGAUUCGAUUCGAAUAUGAAUUCUUACUUAGGAAACUUAUUACAAAUAAAUUUUUUCGUAUUUUUGUUUAUAUUCAAAAGUCUAACUAUAUUAAUUAUGUGUAAUAAGAUCCGUUAGAUUUUUUUUUAUUAAACGAUACCGAAUAAUGCUUUGUAUACAAUCUACUUAACCUUUCUAACUAAAAGUCAUGUAAAUUUAACAGAUUUAUAUUUGUCUCUUUGUUAUUCUGAAUUUGAUAGAAUACGAAAGACUUUUGAAUUUUAAGAAAUUUUAAAAAUUUGGAGUAUUAGUUCUAUUUAUUAUAUUCCCUUUAUAUAAUAAUAAUUUAAUUUAAAUUAUUAAUUUUUUAUUAGUGUAUAAAUAAGAAUGUUUUCAAUUGUUUUGUAUUCUUACAUGUUGAAAUUUCCCGCCUUGAGUUGAUGAUAAACCGAUCGUAACAAUGGCGGACGUACAGUGACAACGUUUUUAGGAAAUAAGGUUAUGACUUUACGUACAUUUCGAUAAAAGAUUUAUUGAUUCUAUUACUUACGUUGAAAAAGUACCAAGUAAAUACACAGUUUCAGAAUAAUUUCUAUAAACUCAGAAAAUGAUUGACAAACGAAUGGUGUAAAAAAUUGAGCUCUCAAUAGAAUACGUUGGAUUUGGCAAUAGACAAUCACAUUUACUGGUAUAGUUCGGCAAAAAAAUACUAAGUAAUUGGAGUUUAUUGUAGAUCAGAGAGAGAUAGAUUCUUCCACUUUACGUAGGUAGCGUUGCUUCAAGGUGAUUCGUUCCCAAAAUAACUUCGUGCAACUAAUCAAAGUCAAUGUCUAUAAAUUCUUAUACUUUCUUUUCGUCAGUUCUACAAAUUAGAGAUUAUAGAAUGCAUUACCUGAUCACUAUUUGGAGGAUCUACUACAGGAAAUCCAUUAAAUGAAAUACAUUUUAAAAGUUCCACAAUGUGUCCUACAUUUUCAACAGUUUUUAAAGUUACCACAGGAUGACUCAUAAUUUCGCUAGCAUAUAUAUUAUUUGACAAAGGAGGUGCCUCCCAGGGUAAUAACGGUACUCCUGCCAUUUGUAUAUGAAUAUCAUAAAUGCCCUAUUAAAUAAUUAUUAUUAGAUAAUUGUAAUUAUAUGUAUUUUAUAAUUUGAUAUAAUUAUUUAAUCUGUAAACAUGCAAACUUUUCGACGGAGAAGAAAAUUCAAUCACUACUAUAUUUCCAUUAGAGUAAAUUUACUUCUUUAAUGAUUUCAAAUUUUUAAUUUUAGAUAAUGGAUAGAUAAUUUCUUUGUUUAAGAACGAUGUAGCAGUGUAGUUGCGUGGCAGUGUAGCAACAGUGAACAGACACUCGAAAAUACUGCUAUGGUGGGAGCGAGAAUCCGUUAAGAGGGAAUAAAAGAGUGGGGAUAAGAGGCAAUUGGCCUUACGAAUCAACUUCACAUGACUCUGAACUCAGAAUAUUUGGCCAAUAAGUGCAAACCGAAAGAUAUCCCUUGAGUUGCUUCAAUCAAAAUUGCAGUUAAACUGAUUGUCAUUCUAACGAUUCCACCUAAUUGUGCAGCAGCUCCUAACAAAGCAUAUUUUCCAGGAUCCAAUACCGUCUGUUGUGAAUAAAAUAAAUAUCCAUUUGAGUAAAAUAUUAAAAUUACAUACUCUAUCUUUUUUUCGGAUUUUUCCUUACACUAUCUGGACAUAUUUUUGAUAAUCCUGAUCCUAUAAGUCUACCCCAGGCAGAACCAAUUAGAAGUGACGGUAUAAAAAGUCCACUAGACAUAGAUAAUCCAAAUGUAAAGACUGCUAGGAUAAAAUAAAGUAUAAUAAAAAUAGCCAAUGUUAUAUCGUUGUGAGAACCUAUAAAGAAAGAAUAUAAAUAUUUUUACGUUUCAAGAGUGUAUUAUAAAAUAUGCAAUAUUAUUAUGGAUACCUUUAGGAUCAUGAAAUAAAGAUCGCACACUACUUUCUGGUGUUUGGAACCAUAAAGCAGCAACUGCACUGUACUCUCCUUCCUUACAAUACAUCCGAAUAGGAAAUUUAGUAGGAUCUUGUCCAAUUGGUUUACAAUCAUCAAGAAAAUAUAUCAUCAAAAAUCCCAUUGUUGCGCUCAUUAUUGCAAUUAUAAGAGCUUCUAUUACUUUCAACCAUUUUUGCGUUAUAUAUUUUAAUCGAAAACAUGUAAUUUUGUAAUUUAUGUGAUUCCACAAAGCACCAAAUAUACCACCUAUUAUUCCGACUAUCAUAAAUAAAGGAAUUUCAUAAACUUGGUAUGGUAUUGAAUCAAAUUUUCCCAAAUUUAAUAAACCUGGAUAAGAAAGAUCACCAGGAUGUCCAUGGUAUGUGCUAAGAAUAAUGUUCAAUGUGAAAGUAGUAAUCAUGCUAGCAAAAAAUGUUCUCCAUGUAAGACUUUGAUUAAAGAAGCUAGUACCUUCUUCAAUACUAAAUAAAACUCCACCUAAAAUAUUG